GCCCUUCCCCCGGCUUCCCCACGCUUCCUCCCAGGCUCUGCCCAGGUGCCUGCAAACCCACGUGCGGGCUCCCCUGGUCCACAGCGCCGCUCCUAGCAACCGCCCCCCUCUCUCCCUGCCAGAUCCGGAAAUGUGUGGUCUCGGCUGGUUUCCUCCUGAAUCCUUGAAGCGCCCACUCAGCCUCUGCCUGAUGCUUCGGCUCCCAUGCAGUUUGCUGAAGUCACCCUGCUGAAGGGCGUCAGAGCUGGAGGACAGGUGGCCCCGGACCUCCCACUCCCGCCCUGCAGAGCCGCCUGAUGCUUCGACAGCCGCCUCUUCCAGAACCAGUGGACACGCUCGCUCCGUUGGUUUCCAUGACACUGCACUUUCCCACGUCUCCUCCGGAUUUCUGACAGCUUGUUUCCUUGCUGGCCUGCGUGGUCUCCUCCCGGCUUCUCGUUGUGGGCGUGUCCAGGGCGCUGCCCUCGGCUCUUACCCCAACCGGUGCCCACCGCCCCCUCUAGAGGGCUCUCCUCCCGGUAGCCUGAUGCCACCUCCCACCACUGUGGCCCCUGGGGCCUUGGCUACCCACGGUCCCCAAUCCCACACGGCCAGCAUUCACAGAACUUCUUGUCCUACCUCCUAUGAAUCAAGUCCUAAAUCACAGACCCUGAAGAAGUGGUACGCUGCACUUGGAAGAGGAGGCAUCCUUUCCCCAGACACCCCAGGGGCUAGAAAUCCCCCAGGCCCGACGCCCUCCGGAGGCGCUGACGUCAGCCCGAGCGGCGGCCGCGGAGCGUUUCUGGUAAGUCUCCCGCCAGCGGCCACCUCCAGGAAGGACAGGGCUGGGCGCAAGCCAAGUCCCGCAGCUGCUCAGCGCCUGCCCGGCCUGGGGAGGUUUCCGGUGUGCCCACUUGGGCCGCAGCAAUCCUGGGGCCCUAAGGGCGUGGGUGGCUGGCCGGCCGUUCCCGGCCUGUCGCCACCCUGUCCAAGAAGUCAAUCCAGCCCACCGACCGCAGAUUCCUAGAGCCUGCGCUCGCUGAUGGGAAUGGAAACGGAAGUACCUCCUUCCCCCUCCCCUCCCCUCCCCUCCCCCAUUCCUGCUCUCCCCCCCCUUCCCCCAUUCCUGCUCUCCCCUCCCUUCCCCCAUUCCUGCUCUCCCCUCCCUUCCCCCAUUCCUGCUCUCCCCUCCCCCAUUCCCCCUCCCCCUCUCCCCAUUCCCCCUCCCCCUCCCCUCGCCCCUCCCCUAUUCCCACCCUUCUCCCCUCCCCUCCCCCCUCCCCACCCUCAUCCCUCAAGACUGCUCUUUCCCUGUUCUUGUCACAGGCUUUGACAGCCAUUUGAGACUGCUCAGGGAGAAGACAGGAACUCUGACCCUGGCCCCCAAAUCAGAGGUUUUUAGGCCAGCAAGUCAUAGCGUUUUAGAGCAGACAGAAGGGUCUCUCAAGCCAGGCCAGUGUCCUUUGAGUCAGUGGUUUCUGGAUGCCAGGCACAGUACUCCCAGCUUCACAGGCAUUAAAACCCUGACGCCUGCACUAGGGAGACACUGCUUGAGCUGCAGUUGACAGGUGGGAACAUGGACACAGUGCACAGGACUGAAGCAGCCUGCCUGAGGCCCCACCUCGGAGCCUGUGUUGGGAGCCAGGUCUUGUGACUGACUUCACAGCUGAAUUCUGCCACCGUGUUACGCUUCUCCACGCGUGUUGGUGGAUCACGUGUUCCUGUCCUAGGUCUGCCAGGAAUGAGAGAAACCUGUGGUUAAGCAGGCCUGGGGUGGGGGUGGGGGCAGGGAAGUACCCUAAAUUCAGUUCCACUUCAUGGAAUGUCUUGGAGCAUAGUGACAGAUUAAAGGCUCUGACAAGUCCUGCAGGGAGUAAAUCUGUUUAACUCUCUUUAACCUAGUGUUUCCCAAACUUAUAUGCAUCUGGGAACCCCACCCCCUUUUUAAAAAAUGGGAGAUGGUUACCAUCCUGGAGAAGGUGCUCUGGGAGCUGCUACAUGAGAUCACACCACCUGUCUUGUUCAGA
ensembl:lncRNA